GGCCGUGUGGCUCAAUGGCAGAGCGUCUGACUACGAGUACCGCCACAUCCGUGCGAGUUAUAAGUUAUCAGAAGGUCGCAGGUUCGACCCCUGUCUCGGUCA